rnacentral:tRNA from 1 species
UUUAUCCAUAUCCCAUAAAGAAGCCGAAUGAAACCAAACCAAGCUAACGAUGCGGGUUCGAUUCCCGCUACCCGCU